rnacentral:rRNA from 1 species
UGCCAGCCGCCGCGGUAAGACGGAGGGUGCGAACGUUAAUCGGAAUUACUGGGCGUAAAGCGCGCGAAGGCGGUUCGUUAAGUGGGAUGUGAAAGCCCCGGGCUCAACCCGGGAACUGCAUUCCAAACUGGCGAGCUAGAGUGUAGUAGAGGGAGGUGGAAUUUCCUGUGUAGCGGUGAAAUGCGUAGAUAUAGGAAGGAACACCAGUGGCGAAGGCGGCCUCCUGGACUAACACUGACGCUAUAUGUGCGAAAGCGUGGGGAGCAAACAGGAUUAGAUA